ensembl:misc_RNA 7SK 7SK RNA
AGAUGUGAAGAGGACCUAGUGGCAGCCUCUUUCCCCACUGCUAACCAGGGUUUAUUUAGCUGGUCUGACUGUCCAGACUGGGCUGCUCCUUUCUCCUUUACCAUUUCAGGCAAGUCCCUCCUGAAAUUGCAUUCCUAGCAGAAAAGGGUGACCUUCUCAGAAGAAGGUGGCUUUGCUCCUUUAAAGUGGGAGAACCGUCUUUGUGAAGCUCUGACUGACCACUGCAUCUGGAAAUGGAUGCCCAACUCUCCAAAUCUCUUUAAAGUUUUU